rnacentral:misc_RNA from 1 species
GAUGAAGAACGUAGCGAAAUGCGAUACGUAAUGUGAAUUGCAGAAUUCAGUGAAUCAUCGAAUCUUUGAACGCAGAUUGCGCCUGCCAGCACUCUGGCAGGCAUGCCUGUUCGAGCGUCAUUUCAACCAUCAAGCCCUAGGCUUGCGUUGGAGCCCUGCGGCUGCCGCAGGCCCCUAAAAGCAGUGGCGGGCUCGCUAUCACACCGAGUGCAGUAGAUUACUCUUCGCUCAGGGCGUGUGGCGGGUUCCAGCCGUGAAACCCCCUACUUCUCAAGGUUGACCUCGGAUCAGGUAGGAAUACCCGCUGAACUUAAGCAUAUCAAUAAGCGGAGGA